CUGUAAUGUGUGAUAUCUGGUAGAGUCUCUCUGUCUGUAAUGUGUGAUAUCUGGUAGAGUCUCUCUGUCUGUAAUGUGUGAUAUCUGGUAGAGUCUCUCUGUCUGUAAUGUGUGAUAUCUGGUAGAGUCUCUCUGUCUGUAAUGUGUGAUAUCUGGUAGAGUCUCUCUGUCUGUAAUGUGUGAUAUCUGGUAGAGUCUCUCUGUCUGUAAUGUGUGAUAUCUGGUAGAGUCUCUCUGUCUGUAAUGUGUGAUAUCUGGUAGAGUCUCUGUAAUGUGUGAUAUCUGGUAGUCUCUGUAAUGUGUGAUAUCUGGUAGAGUCUCUGUAAUGUGUGAUAUCUGGUAGAGUCUCUCUGUCUGUAAUGUGUGAUAUCUGGUAGAGUCUCUCUGUCUGUAAUGUGUGAUAUCUGGUAGAGUCUCU